AGUUACCAGCACGUUAUGGUGGGCGACUCUAAGGAGACUGCCGGUGGACAAACCGGAGGAAGGUGGGGAGUGACGUCAAGUCAUCAUGGCCCUUACGGCCUGGGCUACACACGUGCUACAAUGGUCGGUACAAAGGGUUGCCAAGCCGCGAGGUGGAGCUAAUCCCAUAAAACCGAUCGUAGUCCGGAUCGCAGUCUGCAACUCGACUGCGUGAAGUCGGAAUCGCUAGUAAUCGUGAAUCAGAAUGUCACGGUGAAUACGUUCCCGGGCCUU
rnacentral:rRNA from 1 species